UAUUUCGCUGAAAAUUUCGUAAGGUUUCAUUCCACUUUUUCUCGGUCCGCCGUUUCCCUCUUCCUCACUCUCCAAUCUCCAUAUCCAUCGUUCUUCAUGAAACUCUCAAUCAUCACUCUCCAUCGUUCCUCACUCUCCAUCAUUAACUCAUCAAUUGAACCCUAAAACCUUCUUCUCUCCAUCAUUCCCAAAAAAUUGUUAAACCCUAAAUCCCAAAUUGAACCCAAAAAUUGAAGGAUUGAAGGCUAGAAGGAGUUUUCUGUUUUCUGUUUAACUUCGUCUCUUUGUCUCCGAUCGAUCUCCACCUAUUACCGUCUCUAGGUUCAAUGUAUCUCUUCGUCACUCAAUUGCUCUCUAUCUCCAAUUCGCUCUCUGUAAUUUCUUCGAUCUCUGAUUAGCUUUUUAUGAUGUUGAAAUUUUGAAUAUAGUUGCAAAUCCACACAACAAACUUCAAUUGCAAUUAAUCAAAUGUGCUUUCGAGCUUUUUUCACCUAAAGGGUUCCUUUUUGAAAGAGAUAAAAGUGAUUUUGAUGGCUUAACUUUGAAUUUGGCUUAACUCUGUUCAGGAGAACCAUGAGUGGAAUGAGUGGCAAGAUACAUAUGCAGAACAAAUCCAAUGAUAAUCUUAAUUAUAGGAACAUGGUGGUGUUCAACGUGAUGAUGAGACAGUGGCAGAUGCUGCACAACAAACAACCUGAGCGAUUGAAGGUGCCAAGCAAUUAGCCUCGUCAACCAUCGAAACCAUUUAGGGACUUCUUGGUAUAAUAUGAGAAUGGUGAUGGCUUGCGAGCAAUCCUAAGGCGUUCAAGUGGAUUAUUAAUUGUUUGUUGCGUGCAAUCCUAAGGCGUACAAGUUGAUUAUUAAUUGUUUGCCGCAUAAAUUCUUGUUCUGCAUAGGAACAUUAAGUGUAGGGAUAGGUGAGUGAUUAUGGUUGAGGAGGUAUUGCACCUUUGUAGUAGACAUAAGUUAGUUUUGGUGGGUGAGACUUAUGUAUUGAAUAUCUACAUGUAUAUAUAAUUGUAUUGUAUAU